AGUGAACGCUGGCGGUAGGCCUAACACAUGCAAGUCGAACGGCAGCACAGUAAGAGCUUGCUCUUACGGGUGGCGAGUGGCGGACGGGUGAGGAAUACAUCGGAAUCUACUUUUUCGUGGGGGAUAACGUAGGGAAACUUACGCUAAUACCGCAUACGACCUACGGGUGAAAGCAGGGGAUCUUCGGACCUUGCGCGAUUGAAUGAGCCGAUGUCGGAUUAGCUAGUUGGCGGGGUAAAGGCCCACCAAGGCGACGAUCCGUAGCUGGUCUGAGAGGAUGAUCAGCCACACUGGAACUGAGACACGGUCCAGACUCCUACGGGAGGCAGCAGUGGGGAAUAUUAGACAAUGGGCGCGAGCCUGAUCCAGCCAUACCGCGUGGGUGAAGAAGGCCUUCGGGUUGUAAAGCCCUUUUGUUGGGAAAGAAAAGCAGCAGGUUAAUACCCCGCUGUUCUGACGGUACCCAAAGAAUAAGCACCGGCUAACUUCGUG
rnacentral:rRNA from 1 species